rnacentral:rRNA from 1 species
AUUGAACGCUGGCGGCAUGCCUUACACAUGCAAGUCGAACGGUAACAGGUCUUCGGACGCUGACGAGUGGCGAACGGGUGAGUAAUACAUCGGAACGUGCCUAGUAGUGGGGGAUAACUACUCGAAAGAGUGGCUAAUACCGCAUGAGAUCUACGGAUGAAAGCAGGGGAUCGCAAGACCUUGUGCUACUAGAGCGGCCGAUGGCGGGUGGGGAAGUUGGUGGGAUAAAAGCUUACCAAGCCGACGAUCUGUAGCUGGUCUGAGAGGACGAUCAGCCACACUGGGACUGAGACACGGCCCCGAAUCCUACGGGAGGCAGCAGUGGGGAAUUUUGGACAAUGGGCGCAAACCUGAUCCAGCAAUGCCGCGUGCAGGAUGAAGGCCUUCGGGUUGUAAACUGCUUUUGUACGGAACGAAAAGCCCCGGGUUAAUACCCUGGGGUCAUGACGGUACCGUAAGAAUAAGCACCGGCUAACUACGUGCCAGCCGCCGCGGUAA